UGGGGAAUCUUGCGCAAUGGGCGAAAGCCUGACGCAGCCAUGCCGCGUGAAUGAUGAAGGUCUUCGGGUUGUAAAGCUCUGUGGGGAGAGAAGAAUAAGUGCGGGCUAAUACCCCGCAUGAUGACGGUAUCUCCUUAGCAAGCACCGGCUAACUCUGUGCCAGCAGCCGCGGUAAGACAGAGGGUGCAAACGUUGUUCGGAAUUACUGGGCGUAAAGCGAGUGUAGGCGGUUUGGUAAGUCGGAUGUGAAAGCCCCGGGCUUAACUCGGAACGGUCAGAUGAUACUGCUUUGCUAGAGUGCAGAAGGGGCAAUCGGAAUUCUUGGUGUAGCGGUGAAAUGCGUAGAUAUCAAGAGGAACACCUGAGGUGAAGACGGGUUGCUGGGCUGACACUGACGCUGAGGCGCGAAAGCCAGGGGAGCAAACGGGAUUAGAUACCCCUGUAGUCCCUGAGCGGGCUGGCAAGGCGCAU
rnacentral:rRNA from 1 species